GGAUUAGGUUGGAGCUUUUCCCAGACAUCCUGGUCCACAGACUGAAAAUGACUGUAGAUCCAGCUGACAGCAGCUACAUGCCCUCACUGGUGGUGGUAUCAGGUGGAAGCUCUCUCAACAAUUUGAUUGAGUUGAAGGCCAUCAACAUCAAUCCCACAGACACUGCUGUCUCUCUGCUCAGUGAUUGCACAGAGUAUCACAGGUACAUCGAGAUUGCCAUAAAACA